rnacentral:sRNA from 1 species
UGGCUGUCGUCAGCUCGUGUCGUGAGAUGUUGGGUUAAGUCCCGCAACGAGCGCAACCCUUGUCCCUAGUUGCUACGCAAGAGCACUCCAGGGAGACUGCCGGUGACAAACCGGAGGAAGGUGGGGAUGACGUCAAGUCCUCAUGGCCCUUAUGGGUAGGGCUUCACACGUCAUACAAUGGUCGGAACAGAGGGCUGCCAACCCGUGAGGGGGAGCUAAUCCCAGAAAACCGAUCGUAGUCCGGAUCGUAGUCUGCAACUCGACUACGUGAAGCUGGAAUCGCUAGUAAUCGCGGAUCAGCAUGCCGCGGUGAAUACGUUCCCGGGUCUUGUACACACCGCCCGUCACACCAUGGGAGUGGGUUUUACCAGAAGUGGCUAGUCUAACCGCAAGGAGGACGGUCACCACGGUAGGAUUCAUGACUGGGGUGAAGUCGUAACAAGGUAGCCGUAUCGGAAGGUGCGGCUGGAUCACCUCCUUUCUCGAGCUCAAACGUUUCAAAGUGAAGUGCUAAAGCGCUCACGCUUAUCGGCUGUAAGAAGACAGGCUAAGGGUCUGUAGCUCAGUUGGUUAGAGCACCGUCUUGAUAAGGCGGGGGUCGUUGGUUCGAAUCCAACCAGACCCACCAUGAUUCGCUUGAAGGUGGCUCACGAAAGUGACUGCACUCAAACAAAUCUACGGACCCUUCAGCAUCAAGGUACUGGGGGAUUAGCUCAGCUGGGAGAGCACCUGCUUUGCAAGCAGGGGGUCGUCGGUUCGAUCCCGUCAUCCUCCACCAAUCACCAACGCAUAGCAUUCUUGAAGAUGAGAGUGAUUAUGCAUUGGCGAUUGAGCCAGUCAGUAAAUCGUUUAAGGCAUGGCGCUUUAGAUGAUGCUGUCGUUCUUUAACAAUCUGGAAGAAGUAGUAAAGGUCAUUUGAAAGCACUUAGAGAUGGGUGUGAGUAGGAUGAUCAGGGUUGUGAUUGUAUCAAUGUAUGAAAAGUUAUCGAAAGAUGGCUUGGAAUACGGCGCAACACGAAUACUCAACCUAUAGCGGUGUGAAAGAGGUUUCCCUCGAAGCUGAACUUCGGUUUGGUGUAGAGAGGACUCUCGGAGACACACUCGUUAUAGGGUCAAGCGAACAAGUGCAUGUGGUGGAUGCCUUGGCGAUCACAGGCGAUGAAGGACGCGGUAGCCUGCGAAAAGCUACGGGGAGCUGGCAAACGAGCUUUGAUCCGUAGAUGUCCGAAUGGGGAAACCCGG